CAGCAACAAAGCUCUGCUCUAGCUGUCUUCACAAGUACACAAGAUCCAUCCAAAAACAGGCUGCUGCAUUGUUACCAGGUACACAUAUGCUCCAGACCUGUCGAAGUACAUCCAGGGGAAUGCCACAGAAAUGAUUCAAAGGAUGGAACACCUCCCUUAUGAGGACAUGCUAAGAGAGCUGGGGCUGUUCAGCCUGGAAAAGUCUCUGGAGCAAUGUGAGAACAGCCUUUCAGUAAAGAGAGGCUGUAAGAAGGGGAGAGACUCUUUUGCAGGGUCUGCUAUGACAGGACAAGGGGAAAUGGUUUCAAACUGAAAGAGGGGAGAUUAAGGCAGGAUAUAAGACUAAAUAUAAGUUUUAUAGAAUAGCUAGAAGUUUGCUGUAGUAAGGACAGUGAAGCACUGAAACAGCUUGCCCAGAGAGGUGGUGGAUGCCCUGUUCCUGGAGACAUUCAAGGCUGCUCCUGCAGAUGCAUUUGGAGAGCAGAAUAGGUUUCCAGCUAUAGAAUGCAAUCGGGAACAGUCAGCAAUAUGGCAGUUCUGAGCUUACAAAGUGCCUUACCAGCAAGGCUUUUCACUACUCUGAGCCACUCCAGCAGAAAAUAAGGUAGUUUUUCCACCUCAUCUGUGCUCUCCUCAUUUCCUUUGGGAAGUCAGGUUUCCAUAGGAAACCAUGCUGUUGGAAGCUGAUUCUUCCAGAGGUCUAACACUAGCCUCUGUAAGUCAGGAAGGCAGCUUAGCAGGCCCACUGGGAAGUAGCAGAUGGAUAGGAAAAUGACAUGCUUUCCAAAAGUAUUUAAAUAUCAACUCUCUUUUGUUACAGCUGUGUAAGAGCCAUAUAAAAUCAAGUAACAUGUAGGAGAGAAAAGGGGUCAUGAAGGAGGAGUUUGAGCAAAAAGUAAUGCUAAAAAAGAAAAAAAAAUCCAUUGCAAAUGGUAAUGUAAAUAAGGACACAAUUGCAACAGAAUUUUCCUUGAAUCAACGGAGGACUAUUACUUGAUGAGAUCAUUGUUUUCAGACAAUGAUUUAUGGGCAGCUGGAAUUUGCAUGCAUUGCUCCGAAUCUGUGGAAGAAUCUAUGUGGUUGUUCAUGGCCUUCAGAAACAUGGAUGCUGCAAAGCAGAGCUAUGGAGAAUAUGGAAAGCAGGCUCAAAAAGCAUCUGCAAAUCUGUGCCAAUAUUAUUGCCUCUGUCAUCAAGCAAUGGAAAGGUUUUUCUAGUUAAAUUCAAGUAAUUAAAUCUCCCUGCUCUCAUUAAAAAAAAUACAACUGUCUGCUGCUGGUCUGAAGAAUUGCACAGAGUGAACGUAAAUUUUAAUUUCAUGGUGCAAGUGUUAAAUUAUUGCCAUCUAAGCUGUCUGCCAGUGUUACAUGAAAUCCCACCACAUUUUAAUAAUUCUCCCUUUGUUUUGGAUGGAAAUACCACGUGUUGUGAUUUGGAAGUUUUUAUGUGCAAUUAGAGCCCUGAGAACUACAACAUAAUCACAUUCAAUUCACCUAAUUGGACAGCGAGGAAACUGUCAUUUCUGAAAUGGUUUGUGUCUUUUGGAAUGUCUGUGUGUAUACACAUGCGUAUAAAAUGAAACAUUUUCUCACCCAUCCUGUGUUAAAAUGUAAUAGAAACUCCUGCUAACUGAAGUUGAAGAUAUAGCUGGGUGUUCUUUAGUAACCUCAAAACAUAUACGUGUGCGUGUAAAUAAAAAACUGUCCUUCUAAACACAAGGAUCCUUCCCUCCUACUUACUUUGCAACAUCUUAGUAAGGAUUUGCCAUCAAUUCCCUCUCUUUACAGUGCAUUUGAUGACAUUUUACAGAUCAUCAUACUAAAUAAGUAAGAACCAUCCUCUGAUUUAGAAGAAAAACCUUUAUUUAUUUCAAUUUAUUUUGGGAGUUCAGAAGUAAUGACAAACUUGACAAUCUUCAUGACAAACAUGACAAUCUUCACAUCACUUUAAGCUGUGUGACCAAAAAGCCAUUAGCUUCACAGAAACAGACAAUACAUUUCAUCCUGAAACAACACUUAUGAUCAACAUUUAUGCAAUCUAUAGGUACUUCCUAUAUUUGUAUCAAUGCAAGUAAGAAGACAUGGAGUAUCAAACCAGCAAGGGCUUAGAAAUAUCAAGCCCAAGAGUUUACCCAUUUACUUCAGUGGAAAAUAGUGCUAGUAAAUAUCAAUACAUAUUUUAAUCUUUUAUUUCAGUAAUUUCCAUGUAAAAGCAAACAUAUUCUGCCAACUUUAUUCAUUGUCUUUGAUCUUUUUUUGAAGCAUAUUAUGAUAGAUUUCUGAAUCUUUUAAUUCAAUGUUGAAGUAGAUAUUAAGUAUAUCACAACACCAAUCCACACUAAAUAGAACUUUUGUUUUUUGUUCUUUUGCUGAAAUGUCUGACAGUAUUUCAAGAAUAAUUUAAUUAUGAACUUUAUAUUAACAAAAGACAAGUGAUUUUUUAUUCCAUUCAGUGUGGAAUAAGAUACUACCUAUAUUUGUUAAGCCCUGUGUAUCAACCAGAAUUUGCAAAGGGAAGUUAUCAACUUCAGAUACUCAUUCUCCAUUUCCCAUAAAUAUGUUAAAAAUACAAAGUCAGCUCCUAAGUUUUUCAUCAAAUAAACUAGCUUAUUAAGAUUAAGUGGCCUGAAACCACCAUCUGUGAGUUCACAUUUAUAUCUAGAAAACCUGUAUAAUCAUGUGUAUUGAGAGUAAGGCUUAGUGUUGGAAGGCCCAACCUUGUAAACAAGCUUUGUUUACACAAGAAGACAAUAGGACUCUUCUUUUGUUUCAGAGUUUACAUGUUCAGAGGCUGAGAUCACUAUUUUUGAAAUGUGAUGAUGGGAAUACAAAGUAAUUACCUUUAUGAAGGUUUUACAAAGAAUCCUGUAAGUAAAGCCCAUGACAGAAAUAUAUAGUGUCUCCAAAGAAACAAUUAUGAUGUAUUGUGUUUGAAUAAUAACUCAGAAUGUUUUAUCAUCAUCUGUUUACAUAAUAAGUCAUAAUAACUUUUCAAAAUAUGGUGCUUGCAUUUUUAUUAUUGUUUUAAGUGUACAUAGGGGAAUUACUACAGCCUAGAAUCAUAAACUUUGUAAAACUUUGUUGAAGACUGCAUUUUUAUUCCCAUCCUCUUCUGCUCAAACAAAAAUGUAAAGGAAACAACACACAAAUAAAAGUACGCUAAAAUAAUCCCAUGUGUCUGGCUAAAAGAAAAGACAGGAAAUUCUUAAAAGUGUGGUUAUAAACUGAAAAAUGCCUUUAAACAUGGCUUCCUACUGUCUCACAUUUAUAUAUUCAUAAUUAUUUCACUAUCAAUAUUUUCUUUGCUUAUAUGUACACAAAUUACAUUAUUCAACAUGCCAAGACCACAUUCUCAGUCUGAUAUCUGGAAUACAAAGCCCUGUUGUCACUGGCUUCUACUACAGUGUUAAAGAUGGAACUGAGAGAAAUUCCUAGAUUCCCUCUCCUGGAAACUUUAUGAUUUAAGCCUACUUCUGACCUUUAGCAAUAUUUCCUUGGGGAGACUGAGGUCCAAAUUAAACUUUCAGGAAUUACAAGAGAAAUUUCAAUGAACUCUAGAGAUGCCAGAAAGACAAAUGACAAAAGUAGUUAAAGCAAAAGUGCUGAGCACGUCUUAAGUGCUUCAAUUAGAACUCUUGUUCCCCACAGGAUGUUCCAGAAAGGUGUAGAGGUGCUCACAGACCCUCACAAUGGUUUCAGACAUCUAGCCCACAAAGUAGAAUCCAAAGCCAAGAUUAGAGAGCUGUUACCUACAGAGAACAGAUGAUGUUAUGUGAGAGGACUAACAAAGUAGAAACAUUAUGGAGUUAUCUAGAAUCUAACUCAUAAUUUUGAAAGUCAGAUAAUGCCAACCUAUGUAGUUGAGGCACUCUGUCACAGUGGAAGACUGUGGUUAUUUCCAUCCACUCAGUGUCCACAGACCAUCAAGGUAAUUCAAUUUUUGUUUCAAAGGCUCCGUUUUUUUAAAAAAACAUAACCACUGUUGAAGAUGAGAUGUUAAUAAUGGAACAUAGGAUUAUUCUUAGUUCUACUAUUUACUGAAAAAUAGACAUACAAACUGUGUGGGGCAAAGACAAAGGCCAGAAUCCUGCUUGCUCCAUAAAAAUUGUUUCCUUCCUCAUUUAUCUCCUUGAAUCUUAAUGAGUUUUGCAGUUGUAGUGCACAUCUGUACAGCUAUGUAGACUAGCCUGGGACCCAGUGGGUAAGGUGUGCCUCCUCAGAAAUUAGAGUUUAAAAUACCUGAGGUCAAAGCAGAUGUAAAAAGUUGUCUCCUUCUGAAAGGUUUCCAGUUUUAUUGGCAUAUACUACGUUUGUCUGAGUGCACUUUCCAGGUCUGUGCUAUAAGCUAACACUACCAUUUAUCUUCUGGAUUCCCAGACUGUUUAAGUCAGACAGAGGUACAUGCCCGCUUCACCCUGAGCCCUUCUGCGAAUGGUCAGAAACAGAAUACUGUGUGAUCUCAAAAAGAUUCAGAGCAAACAUGGAAGACAGUUAUGUUUAAAUGACACUCUGGUUGGGCAGGCACUGAACGCAGUAACAGUUUCAACAUAGACACCUUAAACCUUCCAGUAUUCUAUUUUAGGUUUGUUCUUCAUUCUUGCAUCACAGCAGGAGUUGUACCCUUUAUCAGUGUUGAUGUCUUCUUAAAAGAGGGUCUGUGACCGCAUUUGAAGUAUCUCUACUACCAGUUGUGGUGAUUUCACCCUGAUGUGCAGCUAAACUACUACAUCAUUCUCCUGUUACUCCUACUCAAAGGAAGAGGGGGAGAAAAUGAAAUGAAAAAAGGCUCAGGGUUUGAGAUUACCGUCACUGAUCAGUGAUUAUGAGAAUAAAUAAACAUAGUGUGGAAAAAUCUUUGUAUAGUCAUUAAAAUACCCAAGUGUGGCAUUCUAGUAGAGAUUUAAUAAGGAGAAGAAACUGACCCUCAGACUUAGGAAUUCAUUUUCUUUACUUUUCUACAAGGACAGACAUACAUCUCUCUAUCUAAUUUAUAUAUACAUACGUAUAUAUAAAGCAAAGCUUUUAAAGAAUUUUUAUUUAUCAUUGUAAAAUCUCUACUUAGAAUUGGAAAGAGAUAGAAAAAAAAAAAGUAGACUUUGAUUAUCACCUUGAUACAUCUAAGUGUUUACAGUGGGAGCUAAGCUGUAGCAUAGCAAUGUAAUAAAAAUAGAAAGUAAAGUGACGUAAAAAGUGCACUGAGGACUACCUUAUAACUAAUUCCAAACGUUCAAGAAUAGUAAAUGGUUAACAGUGAUGCAAAAGGAAAUUACAGAAAAAACAAUCAAAAAGGACUCCUAAACAAUGAAAGGAAACAAAAAAUUAAUAAAGCAGAAGACUGAAAAACAGAUAAGGAGAGCAAAACGGUGAAAGAUUUCACAGAAGAUUAUGAAAUUAGCACAAAAAAUUUUUAAACAAUCCUAAGAAUAAACUGUCAUUGAAGAACAGAAUAGGGAUUGUGGAGGAUCAUUUUUUAAGGGAUGAGGUAAAAAAAGAUGGAAAAUUUAAACAAAUUCUUCGCAUAGCUGUUCAGAAAGAAAUGUCAGCUCGCAGAGCUGUAGAAAUAUAGGUACAUAUUUUCUGGAGCAAAAGGAAGGAUAAAACACCUAAGUAAACACACACUGUAUGUGACAUAGUACAGAUGACAAUCUUAGCAUGUAUCACAUAAAAUAAUUUCUCAGUGCUAAAGCAUAUGCACUUCAGAAUUCACAGAAAGGGACAAAAAACAGCAUCACUCUUCACAAGACUAAUUUACAUCACUUCACCAUUCAGAUAACUUUUCCUUUUCAAAAUGUUGCUUUGAAGUCACAUGGGCUACUUACAUGACUGACAACUCUAGGACUGCAGUGAAAAAGAAGUUUCAGUGGAAUUAAAGAAAAAGUAACGGGAAGUGUGCAGGAGGUAUCUGUGCAAAGAAGGGCCCCAUGCAACUCCUCUCACAGCUUGCCUCUAAAAACUCAAGAACUGGGUUUAAAUGAGAGAAACACCUUGUCUUUCUGGCAAGUUUUAGCAAUGCCUUCUAUGCAGGAAAGCAAUUUGCUUCAAGACCAAACAGAAAUGCACACUGGUUAAGAGUGAUAUAUUACAAAAACAACAGAGUAUAGCUAAAUUCAGCAAAUUAUGAAGCAAUGGCUAUUUCAGUGAGAGUCAGAGAUUCGUCUAAUGAGAUCCAGGAGUUUCAGCUCUGAACAAAAAGUGAUGAAUUCAAGCUUAAAUUCCUACAAGUAACCCCUAUUCUACAUUAAAGGUAACCAUCCAUCACAUUUUUAACUACAUCUACAAGGGAGUUCAGUAACUUCAGUCUAAAAAAUUCAAAACACAGACAUAUUUUCAGCCAAAACAAAGCCAGAGCCAGCAGUAAUUUUAAUUCUUUUCACUAAGUAUUGUUCUGGCCAUAAGACUAUGUGUAAAAUGGAUGUGGUUGAAGCCACAAUGGACUGUAAGGUUUAUAGGAUGAACAAGUUGCUAAGGAAGAGCUUGCAUGCCUAAAAACUUACAUUAUUCCAGCUGGAGUGCAUCCUGUAACAACAGUACUUCUUUAUUCUUCCAUAUCUUCCCUAAAAAGCUGAGCGCUCUGGCUGAAGACAGGCCAGGAGAGGCGCAUGGAUGUUUGCCUUCUUCAUGUUGCCUGAAAACCUAGUCCUUGUCUCAUCUGGGAACAGGACAGUCAUGCCAAGUGGAUGCAUCUCCCUGCAUCUGUGGAGAGACAGCAAAUGUGCUGUCUGGAAAGUAUCUGUGUUCUAGGAGGUGAGAAACUGGCUUGGGCUGUUUGAUUUCACUUCUACUCAGAGAAAUGGGGCAAUGAACUUUCUAAUAAACAGGUUUGGUUCACAGAGGGAUGACUCCACCAUCGAUCAUUCCACCAGAGGAAUAACUCAAGAUUCGAAAAUUUUAACCAGAUAAUUUUAUCAAAAGAAUAAUAAAAAAAAAAAAAAAAAAAAAAAAAAAAAAAGGACCAAGUAAUGACUUAAAACAAUUGCUGUGAUAUUACAUCUACAUAGGAUCUACUGGCCUAUAUGUCAGUUUUAAUCUGCCACUGGUUAAAUCCUACAUACUGAGCAAAAUAACUUACCAACACAAUACAUGCAAAGUAAAUAAAUACUCAAGCAACACUCUAUGUCCCACAUCCACUCAGAUACCAGAAGUGUGUAUUUCCAGUCUGUGAAAUACAAUGAUAAGUAAAAACAGUGAUUCUCCAUGAGUGCAUUACUCAGAAGAAGCAAUGUUAAGGCAGUCAGUGUGAUCUUUAAAAAUCACUCCCAGUAAAUAAAUAAAUAAGCACCUCUACCUGCACAGCUAUCUGAAGACAAGUUAACAAAUUCUGUUUUCCACUUAUUAGCAAAUCAGUUGUUCUGUAAAGAAUACAUGAUCAAAACCUACAGCAACAGCUGGCACAUGUAUAAAGCGGGGCAAAAAAAUUAAGAUGAAGUAUUUCUGACAAAAAAAUAUAUGAAACAAAACAAAGUUGAAAACUGAAGCAGAUAUCAGAUAACCAUUUUGUCAUUUAUAAAAUACUUUUUCAGGACAAAAGGGGUUGCCAUACCUUUUCACUCAGCAUAUCCUCAGAGUCACAUAUUAAGCUGAUCAAAUCCGAGGGUACUGCAGUAAGCUGAAGCUUGAAGCUGCCUCCACUUCCUUCAUUUCGUUUACAGUUUUGUUUGGGGGUUGUUCUUUUUUUUCUUUUUAGCUUGCAGAAACCUGAGGGAAAAAAUAUUUUGGGGGUUACUAUCGAAAUAGUUUAUUCAGUAGUCAAUUAACUGAAAAAAACAAAUAGUUCUAAACUGAUCUCUUAUAUACCAUGCCCCUUUUUAUAUCAUAGUUAUUGGUUCCAUUCUGUUGUUAUAUUUUACUGAAAACAUUAUGAAUAUAAAUGAGAAUAGUGCACAAAGAGCAGAGGUGAAGAUAUGUCCCAUUAGAAAUCUGCUUUUUUACUUACAUUUACUGAGGUUAUCAAGUACCUCUUUAUGAACUCUUCAUCCCUUUCUAAAAGGUAAAGUUGAAAUUGGGAAAUAUAUUGCAUCAGUUAUUGGGCAUUCUGGGGUUUUCCAUUAUUUUAAAAACCUCCUAUGUGCCUAAUUAUAGCUAAUAAGUACUGUUUAGAAACAUAGCAGAGAACUCAUGAUUUCCUUCUUCACCCAAUGCCCAGAAAAUCCAUGUCCGAGAACAAAAUCUUGAAGGUAUUUGUGAUCAUGACCCAUUCUCAUUAUCUGUAUCCAUUCUAAGAUUUUUAUAUUAUAUGAAUGAAUAUUUUAAAGUGAAAUUAUAGUAUUCAAUGGCAAAUUACAACUACAUGUGACCAAGAGAGGAUUAAACCCAUCAUUUUGCUUAAGAGCUCUGAUGGCUGGAGUAAUUGGAUGAUAGCUGUAGGGCAUCUUUUUGGUCUGUAAUUAGGUCAUUUCUUUCUCAUCCCUUCACUGUGUGUAUAAUUACGAAUUAAUUUGAAAUCCCACUGUGAGUAAAGAAAGUCAGUUUAAUAUAACGGAAGUGCAAAAGCCACAAUAUAUUACUUUUUAAAAACUGCUUAUUUCAAAAUACUCAGUCUGGCCAAAAGUUAUAUCCCUAUGUACUGCAAGGCUUAUAUUUGGUUUCUUUGCUAACUUUGUACAAGUGCUGCUCUGAAAGUAAUGCCUCCUGUUUUAUUAUGUUGGUGUGCAAUGUCAGAGGUGGAUUUUGGUGGUACAUCAGGAGAGGUUGAACCUUCACACCAGUAUUCCACUACAUUUUGUUGCUGUGUGACAGAUGGCAGCAGAGGGUCAGUCUGACAAAAUGGCUUCUGACACGGAAGCAUCUGAGAAGAAAAGAUGUGGAACUGAAUUCCUCCAUGUGGUAAAAAAAUUGCAUCCAUUGACUUUCACUGAUGCUUGCUGAACAUUUAUGGAGAUCAAACAGUGGAUGUGAGCUCAGUGAGGUUGUGGGUAAUGUGUUUCAACAGCAGUGAUAGUGGCAGUGGUUCACCUCCACCGGUGCAAAUUUUUACAAGAACAGCAAGCAGGUUCUCGUUCAUCGUUGGCAAAAAUGCAUAGCUAAUGACAGUGAAUAUGCAGCAAAAUAAAGUUUGUAUUUGAGAAUUUUCUCUAUGAAAUAGUGUUAUUGUGCUCUUUGUAUUUGUUGCAGUUUCUAUGGAAAUAAACAGCAAGUAUUACUUUUGAAUCAAUCUACGUUCCUGGAUGUAUUUUCUCUCUUAAAAUAAAUGAAUUUUCAAAGCACCACACUUUGCUCCAGUAUCUGUCAGUAGGUGUCAACAGCACAAAAAGGUAGUGGAAAGAAAUAAAAAGUAACCAUGAGAGUCUUGACAGACAGUAUUAGCAUCAGAGAACUUAGAGGCCACUCUCAACACAGUCAACCAUUUUAUCCUUUAGUCCUGCCAUUAUUUCCUUCCACUGAAACUACCUUUCUGCUUUUACCCUGAAAGUGUUAAACACUGCACAACCCUAACUAGCAUACCUGCUACUAUGUGCAUCAGGAGCUCACCAUUUCAUCAUCUGGCUGAGAUAUGCUGCUGGCAAGUUCUGCUUCCCUUCCUUUAUCACAACAUUGUGGUCGGAUGCAUCAGACCUCCCUCCCGCCUUAGCAAUGAUACAGGUAAAAACAUGCAUUUCUGACAAAUGGAUAACCCCAAGCAGAUCUGUGGAGACAAUGUUUUGACUUGCUGAACUUCCUGUUUCAUUCUGUUUUCAUCUGUCCCCAGAAACCUUGAAAGGGGUCGGUGAGAGGGUCCCAGGUGUGAUCUGAGCACCAGUGAUGUCAACAGCGAGCCAGGGGCUGUGCAGGGUGUGAAGUUAAAGGGAAGAGCAGAGAAAAGACUGUUGGUGCAGAGAACAAGGGUACUGAGAUUUGACUGUAUUUGUAGCUGUGCUGUAAAAAACUGUAAAACAUCCCAUGCCGUUAGCAUAAGAUUAGAUUUCUGCCAGGAAAAAAAAAAAAAAAAAGAGAGAGAGAGAGAGAACAAAAAGAAAUGGAACUGCUUAGAUAUAAGUUCCAAAGUUCAUUAAGAGGGUUCUUUUCUGCAUAGCUCCAAAGCUAAGAUGUGCUAAGGCAUGUAGAAAAAUAAGGAGGUGUUAAAAACCUACCCAACUUCUUAGCUUUCAAAAAAAGUUCAAAGUCCUAGUCAUCGAUUAUUUACAUGGUGACCUCCAGGCCUAUUUGUGAUGCCAAAAAAAUUGUACUCAGGAAGGAAGGAAGACAUUAUCAAAAAGGAAAGAAUUUCUGUUUAAUCUAAUAAUGCCUUUAUAAAAAUAACCAUUUUCUUUUACAUAUAAUAAAAAAUUCAUUAGAAAAUCUCAACAUAUUUUUAUAUAAAAAUAAUAACUGGCAACAUAGCUAGAAAUAAGAAGCAGAGAAAGAAACUUGGAUGCAUUUCUUGCUUGCAAGAGCAUGAUGAGGAAAUAAGGUAAUCUAGUCUUCCCAUUCUGAACAAAAUAGACAUGAUAACAGAAUAUAUAAAUCAAGACAUUUUUGGAGAAAUAAUGUCACUCCAUAAUUUUUGAAAGUAGAAAUAAUUUAAAAUUCAUGCAUGAAACUAAAUAGGUAAAAUAUGUCAUUUUGAAAUAACAUAACAGUAAAAAUAAUUUGUAAAACUUUUUUUGUUUUUUAACUGAGUCUCAUUUUAUACUUGGAAAAUUUUCUUUAGAAAAUUUUCAACCUCUUCUAUGUAGCUCCUGGGUAAAUAUGGAGGUUUUAUGGAAACCAAACAAAUGAAUUAAAUGACUACAAGAAUUAUUGGCUCUAAAUAUAUACAUUUUCUUCUGAUGCUACUAGAAUGUUACUAGUAUAUACUGUAUGAAUUAUAAAAAAUGUUAUGACAGAUAUGGAAGUAAUAUACUUCGGUGAUAAAUCUUCAAUAGAAAGAAUUUAUUAGAGUCAUAUAGAUCUACU
rnacentral:lncRNA from 1 species